rnacentral:tRNA from 1 species
GGAUGUGGCUCAAGUGGCAGCGUGCUUGCCUAGCAUGCAUGAGGCACUGGGUUCAAUUCUCAGCACCA